ACAGGCAACUCUAAAUCAAUGUAGAAUGCAUUCGUUGAUUUGUAAGUACAAGUAUUUUUAUAGAUCAUUGCUUCUUUUCGUUGGAGAGAAAUCAAACGUUCAUCAUUUCUGUAAUUAAAUGGUAUAAUAGAAUAACUAUAUUUUAUUUCUGGACACAUAUUUUUUGGAAUAUCAUAGGGCGCACUCGGAAAUCUUCUAGGGCGCACCAGUGCGCCCUGGCGCACACUUUGAGAACCACUGAUGUAGAGUAACCUGGUAUUGGGUAGAGAGUUGGCGGAUUUGCUUUGUAACCAUUCAUAUUUUGGGUUUGAGGGGAGGUUCUGCAUGCGGGGAGGGGGAGUCCCGAUGGGUGGCCCCCUUGCGGGGGUGCUCGCUGAAUUGGUGUUGGGAUCACAGGAGGAGUCUGUAAUAGCACCAGUGGUGCAGAGGUCAGUCCUGUGCAGGCGUUAUGUGGGCGAUGUUUUCGUGAUUUGGGGGCGCCGGGGUGCGACCGAGGAGCUCAAAGGAGCAUUUACUAGCAGUGGCUGUGGCAGAU
rnacentral:lncRNA from 1 species